rnacentral:lncRNA from 1 species
AGGGACACUUAUAUCCAUACCCUUCGCGAGCUACCCUUGACAACAGAGUGCUCCACAGUUGGUCAUGUUCUGUGAUGAUGUACUCCUACAUCUCACUUGCAUGUUAUGCUAGUAUCUCCAUACUAUUUAGUUAUGAGAACAACCAAUACAUAUGACACACAAUGACCUACACUUGAUAUCACUAUUGUCCUAGUAAUAGCAUAUCAUUUGGUCACAAACCAAUUUAAGGACUACGUGAUAAAUUCUCUUUUAUCGAUCAAAAUAGACCUAAGA